UACGGAGGGAGCUAGCGUUGUUCGGAAUUACUGGGCGUAAAGCGCACGUAGGCGGCUUUGUAAGUUAGAGGUGAAAGCCCGGGGCUCAACUCCGGAACUGCCUUUAAGACUGCAUCGCUUGAAUCCAGGAGAGGUGAGUGGAAUUCCGAGUGUAGAGGUGAAAUUCGUAGAUAUGGGGAGGAACACCGGUGGCGAAGGCGACCAUCUGGACGGAUACUGCCGCUGAGACGCGAAAGCGUGGGGAGCAAACAGG
rnacentral:rRNA from 1 species